rnacentral:lncRNA from 1 species
CAUAUCAUUCCUGCCAGCCAGGCACUAACAAUUAUCACCCAAUCCAGGACUUAAACUGUGAUAGAGUGGCUGAUGUUUUGCCUUUGAAUAGAGUGUCCAGCUGCCAUGGACUAGAUUCUCCACCGGUUGGGGACAAUCUGGUCACCUUGCUGCCCAAUCCGGACCUGGAGCCACCACAGCACGAGUGUCAAGCACUGGCAGAAGCCCAUGGGUAGAGGAAAGACCUCUGCGACUGGUUGAUUGACCCCUGCUGAAGGCCGAGGCUACCUUGUCUACAGACGGGAACAGUUCUCUUCAUGAAGGUCAGAGAUAAGUGGGUGCUGCCAUGGUGGACAACACAAUGUCAUCUGGGAUGGCUGAACCUCAACCCCCCAGUACAUCAGUGCCGCAGAUGCAUUUACCAUCUCUUGGAUGCCCUGGUGAAGCCAACAACUGUGAGUACUAUUCAUUGCUCAGGAUAUCAGGAGGGAAGUGAUUCAGUGGCAUGGGGCAAUAACGAAGCAGAUCAAAUGGCUCGAAAAAUGGCUAUGCAGGAGCCUAUCCUGGUUGCAGGCCUGCAAGAGACAGCCACUGAGAACUAGGAUUGGACUAAGGGAUGGCCUCACUUAGAAAAGGCCCAAAUUGCUUAAAAGAUAAAGGACAAUGGCACACUUGAGGGGAAAGCUAUACUCCCCAGAGAACAAAGAAAAGACUCACUUUGCCAAAUACAGAAAUGGACUCAUUUAGGAGAUAAGAAGUUUGUCCAAGUAGUUAAGGUGUAUGUAACAGACUUUAAGAUUUUAGCCAGAGAGACAGUAGAAAGUAUAAGGUAUGUCAAUAAGUGAAUGCUUAGCAAGCAAACAGGGCAAAGAGACCUAGAGAGUUUAGUGAAAAGUCGAAGUGAACUUCACUGAGAUAAAACCAGAAAAAUAUAAUGAAAAGUAUCUCCUAGUGCUUGUAGAUGCUUUUUCAGGAAUAGAUAGAAGGUUUCCUCACCAAAUGAGAGACGGCCUCUGCAAUCAUCAAGAAGAUACUGGAAGAAAUCUUCCCCCGAUUUGGAAUGCCCAAGGUAAUCUGGUCAGACAAAGGCCCUACUUUCGUUGCCAAGGUAAGCCAGGGUGUGGCCAAGUAUUUAGAGGUCAAUUGGAAAUUACAUUGUAUCUACAGACCUCAAAGUUCAGGACAGGUAGAGUAAAUAAAUAAAAUUUUAAAAGAGACCCUGACCAAAUUAAAUUAACCAUGGAGACUUGCGCAGACUGGGUGACUCUCCUUCCCUCUUGCUCUCUUCAGAGCAAGAAAUACCCCUUCCAGAUUCAGCCUUACCCGCUUUGAGAUCUUAUAUGGGGCCUCAGCCCCCCAUCCCCGAAUGUAUUAGAUGAUGUUACUGAACCAACAUGUCAUAGUGCCAUAGUAAUAAUGAUUUGUGUGCCAGGCUAAAAGACCUACAGAUGAUACAGAAAGAAAUCUGCUCACAGCUGACAGCAGCCUAUGCUCCGGAGACCCCUGAGACAUCUCAUCAGUCAUGAGUUCCAGGAGACUGCAGCUACACUGAGCCCAGACACUCGAGCCUCACUGGAAAGGACCAUACCUGGUGCUGCUGACCACCUGACAGCUGUCAAUUCUCAGCCCUCACCAGCCGCGUACUAGCUGUUGGGGCUGAGAGCUGGGACCUAGAGGGAAAUUCAGUCAUGUUUGUCCUGGGUUCUAUCAAGAUUGGUGUGGGAUAGGCUUGAUUUCCAUUACAAAUGAUGUAACAUUGCAUAUGUUAGUACUCUUAACACUUCUUGGGACUGUGCCUCAGGGAUCACAGUCUGUAUAAGCUUAGAAGUUCUAAAAGCUAGUCAUGACCUUGGUGUAUAGGCUUAAAUAGUGUUCAGAUUAGAAUCCUCAUGUUAAGACAACAAUACCAAGCUGUUAUGCUAGAUGAAGCUGAGUUCUCCAUGAAGUUCUAAGAUUAGAACUAUUAACAAAAAAAAAGAAGUGGGGAAUGUAGAAUUAGAGUUUCAUAAAGAUUACUCAUUGUCAGAGCCCGAAUGUGCAGAACUAGAGUUUCA